AAAGUAUGAAUGUUGGAGUUAGUAACUUAUAUCAAUGUAUAUAUUGAUAAUGAAAAUUAUCAAUAUAAAUCAUUGACGCCGAAAACUAAGGGUUUCAUUAUAGAGUUAAUAAUAAUGAGUUAAUCGGACUCUAAGAUAAAGGUAAAUACCGUAAUUGAUGAGCAAACUUUUUAAUAUUAAAGUAUUGAUUUAUGUAAAAUGAAAGAAUUAAAAAAAGACAAAUAUUUUUAUUUUUUUCUUUAUUUUUUUAGUAAAAAAAUUUUAAAAAAUAUUUCGUAGAAAAUAUUUUUUGUAGAAUAUCUAUAUAAAUGACAACCGUACUUAUAACCGACUCAGUAGUUAUGUAGAGAAUACUAAGGCGAGAGUAUCAAAAAAGUACUAAGGAACUCGGCAAAAUAGACCCUGUAACUUCGGGAGAAAGGGUGCUUCUUUUAUUAUAGGGAGGCUUUAUUAAUUUUAAUAAUAAUAAUUACU
rnacentral:rRNA from 1 species